GCAAAGGGCGUCGGCAUGGAGUCUAGCCGGCAAAGGCCUCUUUGCCGGAGGCUUUUUCUCGUCACCUUCGGCAAAGGCUUUGCCGAAAGCAAAAAAAAGAGCCUCCGGCAAAGAAAAGUAACAAACAGUCCGCACGGAGGUAGACGGAAGGCCACGUGGCAGGGGGGCUUUGCCGGAGGCCAGCCUCUGGCAAAGAAAAUCGAAAAUAAUAAAAAAAACAUCACCAGGGUCCCGAAUUCCCCGCCGCUGCCGGCCUUGUUCAUCGCUGUGCUGCUCGCCGCUGCCCGCAGCGCACGCCGCCUGUAGCCCGAAGCUCGCAGGAGAGAGAGAGAGAGAGAGAGAGAGAGAGAAAAGCUCGCCCCACCGCUCGCCGCUGCUACCCCGUGCGCCGCCUGCCGCCGCCCGCACCGCUCGCCGCUGCUGCCCCGUGCGCCCCCUGCCGCCGCCCGCACC
rnacentral:lncRNA from 1 species